AUAAAAGUCAAAUUACUUCUAAUAAUAAUUAUAGGAUGGUAGUAACAUUAAUAGUUUAAUUUACUGAAAUUAUACAAUAUUGUUUAUUAUACUAUAAUAGUAUAUAAACUGAAGUUUUCCUCAAUGCAAAUGCAUAAAAAUCUUUAAAAAUUAAAACUUUAACGGUUUCAAGACAUCAUCUAAUCUCUGUCUGUAAAUAUGAAUGUGAAAUGAUUUCUGCUGCUGAUAUUUGAUGAAGGGAAUUUUCUGGGAUUCGCUGAUGGCUGCUGUAUAAAGUCGCUCCUGUUGUUCUCUCAGAAAGCAGAUAUCAUCUUCAAACCAUUGUGAAAGUGUUUUCAGUAUUUCAGUUUCAUUUUACACAGAGUAACAUGAGAUCUGUGGCAUUCUCUGUGUAAUGAACUCAAUCAGCACUGCGGCAGGUGAAGAUCAUGACCAGUCUGUCGUCGUAGGGUCUUAUGUGUGUGUUUGUGUGCAGAUAUCAUCUGGAGAUCAGUGGAAGCACAGCAAAGCACAAGAACAGCAUGCUGAGAAGAUCUUCAGACAGCAGAGCCUUCCAGAAUCCAGACGAGACGCAUCUAGAGCUUCUGGAGCACAGCGGCAGCGUCUCACGCAGAUCCAUGACUAUAGAGGAGGAGGAGGGUUCGGCUCGGCCCGAUGGAUCCGGCGUUCGUAAUGUGAGUUUACUCUUCAGUGAGCUCCAUCUGACUCUUCAUGAGUCCGUCAACACUUACACACGAUCCCCUUCUGUUCUUUUGAGCAGAGCUUCAAGAGCCACAACAAAACCUUCCACAAACUCUUCCCUGAGAUCCCAGAGACGGAGGAUCUGGAACACGGUGAGUUUCCACUGGAAGAUAAUCCACAGUGAGCUCUCGUCACGUCUCAGGUAUUUCUCACAGUCUGUAAUGAGAGUAAAUGAAGUCUUGUGUUUCUCAGAUGUUUCUAGCGUAUCUGAAGAGUGUCAGUGAUGUCUCACACUGUGCUCAGCUCAGAACGAGGUUUUCAACAAACGUUAUUCCAGGAACAUUAAGAAAACAUUCAUUCUGAGUUACCAUAAUGUUCUCAAAGUGUCAGCACAAAAUCAUUCACGGAACAUUUUUGUUCUGAAGUGUCUUAGUUCAAAAGUAACGUUCUGGUAAUGUUUGAAAAUGAUGAAAUUAAAUAUUCCCUUAACAUCAAGAAAACAACAUUUUUUAAAACAUAAAAGAACAUUCUGAAAUAAUGCUUCCAUAACUUUAGAAAAACGUUCUUAGAACAUAUUUCUGUGAGCAGUCAGCGAUCUCAGACGUGUCUCUUCAUAUCUCUAUACUCUCUCUGAACGACCGCAGGUCUGUUUUUACUUCCCUGAUGAGGUCUAUUCAACGUGAAACUAUCAGAAGAGAACAGAUCCUGACCUGAUCUGUUGAGCUGGAAUCGAGUUUGUUUUAUAAUGGGUGAAUUUACAAUAUUAACACUGCUGUUUUCAUGUUUAUUGUGAAGCUUUGAAACGGCACUGAAAGACAUGAUAUGAUCAAGAAGUCAUGGUAGCAUGUUUUUACACUAACUCAAAAUAAUCUGACCAAUGUCAACUCAGUUUUAAAGGUAUUUAAAGUUUUAUACAGCCAGUUUGAUGACUCUUAAAAACUGACGGCAGCAGCUGAACUUGCACUGAAGUAGGUGGAGAUUGUAUAAAGCGCUACAGAAAUGAACAGGACUUGAGUUGAAACUGAAUGCUCAGUAAAGCAGGACAGUGUUUGAGGCAUCUGAUGUUUCAGUGCACAGCUGCG
ensembl:lncRNA